rnacentral:rRNA from 1 species
AGUUGAUCCUGGCUCAGGAUGAACGCUAGCUACAGGCUUAACACAUGCAAGUCGAGGGGCAGCGAGAGGAAAGCUGCUUCCUGUCGGCGACCGGCGCACGGGUGAGUAACGCGUAUCCAACCUUCCCCAUAGUAGAGGAUAGCCCGGCGAAAGUCGGAUUAAUACUCUAUGUUGUACAACGAGGACAUCUGAAUUGUACCAAAGAUUCAUCGCUAUGGGAUGGGGAUGCGUCUGAUUAGCUUGUGGCGGGUAACGGCCCACCAAGGCGACGAUCAGUAGGGGUUCUGAGAGGAAGGUCCCCCACAUUGGUACUGAGACACGGACCAAACUCCUACGGGAGGCAGCAGUGAGGAAUAUUGGUCAAUGGACGAGAGUCUGAACCAGCCAAGUAGCGUGCAAGGAUGACUCGCCCUAUGGGUUGUAAACUGUCUUUUAUGCGGGAAUAAAGUCAGGUACGUGUACCUGUUUGUAUGUACCGCAUGAAUAAGGACCGGCUAAUUCCGUGCCAGCAGCGGC